UACGGAGGGUGCAAGCAUUGAUCGGAAUUACUGGGCGUAAAGGGCGCGUAGGCGGUAGGAUAAGUCGGAUGUGAAAUUCCGGGGCUCAACCCCGGAGCGGCAUUUGAAACUAUCCAACUAGAGUGCAGUUAGGGAAAACGGAAUUCCACGUGUAGCGGUGAAAUGCGUAGAUAUGUGGAAGAACACCAGUGGUGAAGACGGUUUUCUGGGCUGUAACUGACGCUGAGGCGCGAAAGCAAGGGGAGCAAACAGG
rnacentral:rRNA from 1 species